AAUAAUGAGAAUAUAUAAAACAGAUUAAAAAAUCCUUGCCUCAAAUCAAUAUUUUAAGUUUUAUUUUGACAACAAAGUUACAGUGAAAAGGAUCACGUGUUCUCUGUAUAUAGUUCUUAGAUUUGUGACGGGUAAGGUCACAACAUAAAUUUUCUUUAAAUUAUAAAGACUUUAUAAACCUUUUUGUUGCUGUUGAUAUUAUUUCCAAUAAAUGGAACUUAUAAUUGAUAGAAAAUAAGAAAUUAGACGAGUACUUUGCUCUCUGUUAAUCCACUUGUUCUAGUUUUAUUGCUAUCAUGAAUCGUCUUAUAAAGCAUAUAUGCAUUUGUAAUUAAAAUACAUUUUUCAUAAAUCAGUUAAAUUUUAUUUUGAAGAUCUCUAUAAAAAUAAAAUAUACAUCAUUUCAUUGCCAAAGGAAGUCAAUUUGAUUAUGUUGUAAUUUGAGAUCUGGAAACGACAUCGGAGCAGAGGACGGUGUUUGCAAAAACAGGAGGGUUAGGCAUAAUAGAGAAGAUGAAUUAGGACGAGAAUUCCGGCAAAUGCUGGCACGCGAAGAAACCGUUUCCUUAUGGCAAAUUAUCCAACAACACAGGGCAUCGAAUUUCGAAGAGCAAUAAAAAAAUUGUUCCAAACAUCUUAUUUUUAAAAAAAAUCUUUUUUUUAUUGAAUUACAAUGCUUCCUUGCAGACAUGGGCGUUUGAAUUUAGUAAUCGUGUAAAUAUUAUUAAAGAAUAUUGGAAUAAUAAACUAUUUGAACAUUUCUUAGCGAGUUCUUUAAAAAAUUAUAAAUAGGCAUCUUUUCAUUUAGAAUUGUAUUUUUUAACGUCAUUUCAUCUUAUUUCACAUUCAUUUAUAUAUAUUGUUUCGUCCAUAAACUAUAAAAUUAGAAAAGGAAAUAUUCAAAUUAUUUUGGGCUUAAAAUUUAAACCUUUUCCUAUAUCUUCACACUGGGCUCUUCAUGUAAAGGAGUUAUACAUUGCCUAAGAGAUGGCCACGACUACCCAUCCCUCUAAAAGGUUCUAUCUAUUCAAUACAAUAACCAACAGUUUACUCGUCGCUCGGAGGAAUAACAUUGCUUAUCUUUUAUAUGAACCAAACUUUGUACACAUAUUUUUUAAAUCAUUUAAUGGUUUUACAUCAAUAUAUGUUCUGAUCAGUUGCACAUGUAUGCUUUUUCUACUUGUAUUGUAGCCAAAAUGACAAAGAAGUAUAAGCCUGAACUACUUAAAUCAAUUAUCAACCUAUUUCAAGAUAGAUAAAAGUUACUGUCAUGAAUAACUUUGGACGAGCAUCCAGCAACUAUUUGGUCUUGAUGACAAAGCGUCAAAGCAAACAACAAUAAACCCGGCCCAAUAUGAUGACCUAGAUUUUUUAACGGUUAAUAGGGUAGCUGACCUUGAUAGAGUCAGUGCGACACGGUGAUAGAUAAAUGAGCAUGACCCUAAUGUCCCAUAUAGCAGUCAGGGGUUAAAUUUAAAUAUAUGCCCCAGCUUAUAUGGUAGGCUAAACUAAACCAGGAAGUUUAUUUCAAUUGGUUGAAAUUUCCAACCAAUUGAAUUAAAUGUAAAUAUCAACAUAAAAAUAUGGAAUACAUUAGGUUUGAUAAAAUCCUUUAGAUUGAUAUGUAUUGUAUGUAUUGCAAAAACUAAUUUUAAAAGAAUAUAACAUCAACAGAUAAAAUACAAAUAGUGGCCAUUCAGUUUUAUCUGGUUUUACAAUUCCCUUAAUUAUUUCAGCUAACAAAAUUAAUCAAUUCUUGUCAUUGUUAUUUCGAUAGUUCCUAGAUUAUUUCUAUUGGUCAAAAAUUGAACAGAUCACAUUUUGUUGUUCAACAGAUGAAAUGUCGUAAAGCAGUAUUUUAUUUCUUGUGCACAUUUGUGAUAAAGUUAAAUCGAGAAUUGAAAUGACAUGUAUUGCAAAAAAGAUGCCAUGAAGAAUUCAUUGUUAAAUAUAAUAUACCAUUUCGUCGGGAUACUGAUUUUCUUACAUUUAGAAGACGUGAUAAUUGAGCAAUCUUGAUCAUCUGUAGAUCAGUGGACACACUUGGGACAGUUUUCCCGAAUGCAGUGGUCAGUCACAAAUGCUGGUUUUAAACUCUGGGACUCGUGAUCCAUUUUGCAGAAGAAAAACGAGUGAAACUAAAAAACUACAAAUGAACUCCAAACUUGCACUUGCACUGAAUAAUGAAAAUUAGAACUGACAGUCAUAAAAUUCAGUCGCUAUACAGACACGCAAGAUUUAGCGCCAUUUUGUUAGACAGAGAGCUAUAUAUAAAUUUUUCGCCGGCAUGUCACUGGAAAUUUCUUUAAAUGUGUGCAAGGACGACCGAUUUCGAUAUCGGCCUUGAGGUUAUGUUUCAAAAUAUCUAAAUUUGUAUUUGCAUCGACGCAAAUAGAUUAAAUAUAGUGUAAUUAUAGGUCAUCCAUUUUCAGAAAAAUGCAUUUAUGCACAUGAAGUAGACCUCAUGUCUGUCAAUACACAUGUGAGGUAUGUUAAAGGAAAACUAACCAUGCCAUAUCAUAUUGUGAAAAAUUGCGAAUACUAUUGAACUCUAAGGUAAGGUCAACAUUCAUUUUUCAUUCGGAAAGAUUUUUGCACUUUAUUUUAAAACAUGGACAGUGUUGGUCAAACAUGCAACCAAAAACAAUGCCCUUAAAUGUUGCCUCCGAAGGGUGGGGGCUGAGAAAAUCAAUCAAAGCAGAUUGACAGAUGUCGUUGGACAAUUUCCACGAACUAGAUGAAUUCCGGGAACUCUGUGUUGGUCCUAGUUUUUGUUAGUGUCAUUAGCAAUGGCCUGGGGACCCCGUUGUCUACCUGGGUACUUGAGACACAUAAACAUAUCUACAAUACCUUUAUAAUUAGUUUAGAAAUGUUUGCACAACGGGGUCAAGUAUAUCACGUAGGUGUAAGGUGAUCAGUCUCAACGCACUAGAAAUUUGAAAAUUAACAGAUCACAGGGAGCUUAGACACCUUUGCCAACACAGCUAGAGUUAUCCUUCCUUAAAAUUGAAACUUUUUAUCAUGAUUAUGAAUAUCUUUAAUUUAGAAAUGUAUAAAAUGGUCAGGUAUAGUGUAAAAUGAUCAACAGCAACAAAAGAUUUUUAUAAAAAUAGAUCUUCGAAAGCUGAAACAUUUGCCAACACAGCUUUGAGUUAUCUUUCCUUAUAAUUGAAAUGCACAGGAAUAUUUUUAAUAAAUAUUAAUGUACUAUCUUUUAAAACACAUGUCUUUUGAUUUUACACAUUUCAGAUACAUACUAUUUGGUGGUUCCUGAAGAAGGAAGAGCCAGGAAUUGUUCUUCAUCUACAAAGAAAAGAAUAUUUUAUACAUUCUUUAUUAAAAAUGGCCACUAUGCAUAGGAAAGGAAAAAAUAUACAUAUCAUUUUAUCUUACAACUUAUAUUUAUUUUUUUGAAAUAUAUAAUAUCAAUACAUGUAUGAAUGUAUGAACCUUAACUGAACUUCAAAUAAUAAUAAUUUAUAGACUAAUA